GAUGAACGUUGGCGGCGUGCCUAAUACAUGCAAGUCGAACGGAGAUUGUAGCAAUACGGUCUCAGUGGCGAACGGGUGAGUAACGCGUUGGUGACCUGCCCCGAAGUGUGGAAUAACAGAUCGAAAGAGCUGCUAAUACCGCAUAAUAUCCAGAGGACUAGAUGCCUUUGGAUUAAAGGAUUUAUUCGCUUCGGGAGGGGCCUGCGUCCCAUCAGCUAGUUGGUAAGGUAAAGGCUUACCAAGGCUAUGACGGGUAGGGGACCUGAGAGGGUGGCCCCCCACAAUGGAACUGAAACACGGUCCAUACACCUACGGGUGGCAGCAGUAGGGAAUAUUGGGCAAUGGGGCAACCCUGACCCAGCGACGCCGCGUCGGGUGAAGAAAUCCUUCGGGAUGUAAAGCCCUGUUGUACUGGGAAGAGCAGAACGACGGUACCAUACGAGGAAGCCCCGGAAACUACGUG
rnacentral:rRNA from 1 species